rnacentral:rRNA from 1 species
UACGUAGGGGGCAAGCGUUGUCCGGAUUUAUUGGGCGUAAAGAGCGUGUAGGCGGCUUUACAGGUCCGUUGUGAAAACUCGAGGCUCAACCUCGAGACGCCGGUGGAAACCGUAAAGCUAGAGUCCGGAAGAGGAGAGUGGAAUUCCUGGUGUAGCGGUGAAAUGCGCAGAUAUCAGGAGGAACACCCGUGGCGAAAGCGGCUCUCUGGGACGGUACCGACGCUGAGACGCGAAAGCUAGGGGAGCGAACAGG